GUGUUCUUUUACAGUCCAACGACCACGGUUUGAAGAGGUUGAUUUUCGUUUGCGAGUUGAAAGAGUUUCUUGUUGUUGAUAUUCUAUAGCCGGCGCAGGAGUGUGAGUGAGAAUAGGAAAUGUAUGUGUUGUCGUUACCAUUUGUGCAUCUUGCUUGUUGUUACUUUGGUCCCAACCACUCUCACUACUAUAAUCCAAAUAAUAAUCAGUAGGAUAAGUAAGUUUAGGUACUAAUUGAGGUGUAUAACAAAAUUGGUAGGGUUGUUGGUUGUAAUCAUUACUUUGGUCCCAAUUACCACUCUCACUACUCAUGUUCAAAUAAUAAGGCUUGUUCAUUUCAGGCACUAGAUGAGAUGUGUAGAAACCUUGGUAGUUGUUGGUGUUAGUAGUCGAGGUAUCACUCCAAGAACUACUACUCGCCUUUAUCUCAUGAUUAGGUUUAACUUCUUGAUUAGGUUUGAAGAAUUCCUCAGGGAGAUCAUCGAGGCCUAUGCCAUCAUCUUGAAUAAUUAUUUUAUCAGGUUCAUUAGAUUGAUCUUGUUGUUGUUUAUUUUCAAUAGGAGACGAUAUGAUUUCUAAUAAUUCUUUUAUAAUGCUUCUUUGAAGAUCAGUCAAAGAACUACUAUUUGUCUUUGUCUCAUGAGCAGGUUCAACUUCUUGAUUAGGUUUGAAGAAUUCCUCCGGGAGAUCAUCAAGGCCUAUGCCAUCAUCUUGAAUAAUUAUCUGACUAACUUCAUUGGAUUGAUCUUGUUGUUGUUCAUUUUCGGUAGGAGACGAUUUGAUUUCUAAUAAUUCUUUUGUGAUGCUUGUUUGAAGAUCACUCGAAGAACUACUAUUCUUCUUUGUCUCGUGAUCAUGUUCAACUUCUUGAUUAGGUUCGAAGAAUUCCUUAGGGAUAUCAUCUAAGCCUAUGCCAUCAUCUUGAAUAAUUAUUUCAUUAGCGUCAUCGGAAUGAUCUUGUUGUUGUUGAUUUUCCACGAAUUGGAAUUCAUCUAGGUCACCCAAAUCAACAUCCUUCCAACUGAAAUUUGGGUGAGUAAAGAUGUGAUUGGGUAUCCAAUUAGUAGAACCAUCAUCAUUGAAAUUUGCAUCAAAAAAGAUGUUAGUUGUGACAAUAUCAUCCAUUGUGAGUAGGUUUAGUUUUGAGUAUGAUUUAAUAUUAAUUGUAAAUUAAUAUUGUAGGUAAUACAACUCAACUCAACUUACUUUCAAAAGUAUGUUUUGGUCUCAUCUAUUUAUAUACGUACACAAAUCCUAAUUCUAUACAUAUUACAAUACUAACUAAGAUAUUAUUUAAUCCUAAUUCUAUUCUUAUUAUAAUUAUUACGUUAAUUAUACACGAUUGGAUAAAAUACUAAAUUUGAAAUUCAUAUUUUUUUAGGGAAUUUACCUUUUAAAAGUUUUUUUCUACUUUUACGGUUUUUAUUUUUGGUUUUCAUUUUUAUAGUUUGUCUUUUUUAUUUUUACUUUAAAAUUAAUUUUUUGAAUUUAUUUUUAUUGAAUCACACUCCAUUUUCUCACCAAACUUCACUCUGUUCAUCUUAGUCUUCCGUCUUCUUACUCUAAUGGCUGUUCUCUUCGUCAAUCAUCCCAGCACUAUAAUUUUGUUCUUCAAAAUCCCAAAUCAUAACCCAAAUCACAAAAUUGCAACCCAAAUCCUUUAAUUACAUUUAUAUAGAAACCCACGUUGCAAUCCUAAAUCACCAUUGAGAAAUCUACUACAGAACAAGAAGAACAAGUUGAGUUUGUUUAGCUCAAUCAGGAAGGAAAAUUUAAUUGAUAGUUUGCUUGUGGUUAAUUUUGACUAUCAUUAUCUUCUUUCUCCAUUCAACCAUUCAUUAGUAUUGGCAAUAGUUUGACUAUUUUCAUCAUCAUCAUCAUCUUUCCUUUGAUCAACUCUUUAAGCUUCAAAGCUAAUUCAAGGUGAGAAAUUAAAUCUAAAAAGAUUAUAUCCUCCAACUCUUAUUUGGUUAGAGGCUGUCUUUUUAUCUUGUGUAAUUUUAAAGAAUGAAAAUGGUUCACACAAAGGUUUUCUUCAUGAUCUCUUCCGUCUCAUUUCGCUCCCCUUCCUUCUGCUUCUACUUCUUGUGUUGAAGUAAUGAUUUCAAGACCUGAUUUUGAUGUGUAAUGUCAAAGAUGUACGCCUACCUAGCCUACUUAUUUACUAUAUUAAUAUGCAAUAGCAACACAAAUUUGUGGACAUGAGAAUGACCAAAAGUAUCCAUGUCAAUAUUAAGUUGUUGUAAACCACCCCAUGCAUGUUAAAUAUAGAAUACUUGUAAUUAUGAUUCAAUCAGCAUUGAUAUUUAAGGCUCAACUAGAUUAAAGUUUGUGGGUUAAUUUUUCGAGGGAAAACAGAUUGUGAGAAAGAGAGAAUUAUGAGCUGUUUAGAGAGAGAGAUGAGUUGCCCUUGAGUGUUAUGUAAUGGUGUGAGUUCAAUUGCAGAAGCAAAGCUUCUCAAGAUUGUGUAAUUGGAACUGUUGUAAUCUCUCAUUAAAUAUCAGCUAAUAAAGAUUCUCUAAAGCCAUUGUUGUGGCUGUUUUACGG